GCACUCACUUCAGCACAAAUAGUGAAAUUGGAACUGUACAAGGAGACUGGCAUGGCUUCUGCACAAGGAUGAGACACAAAUUUGUGAAGUGUUACCUUAAAAA
ensembl:snRNA U6 U6 spliceosomal RNA